UGUGGCACUGUUUGGGAAGAUAUGCUCAAGAGGCUUGUAUGGUAGCGACAAAGAAUUACAUAAAUUGGAACUAUUUUGGAUAUAAUUUUUUUCAGGAGUCUCACAACUCAAGAAAGAAACGGGAAAUUACUGAAAAACAGAUAGACGAUAACAGAAAAUUUUCUUUAUUUGCUGAAAGAAAAUACCAGACUCUUAACUGUAGCGUGAACGUGAACUGUGUGAACAUCAGAUGCCCACUGCGAGGGCUGGACAGCAAGGCGUCUCUUAUUUUGCGCUCGAGGUUAUGGAAUGGCACAUUUCUAGAGGAAUAUUCCAAACUGAACUACUUGGACAUUCUCAUGCGAGCCUUCAUUGAUGUGACUGCUGCUGCUGAAAAUAUCAGGCUGCCAAAUGCAGGCACUCAGGUUCGUGUGACUGUGUUUCCCUCAAAGACUGUAGCUCAGUAUUCGGGAGUACCUUGGUGGAUCAUCCUAGUGGCUAUUCUCGCUGGGAUCUUGAUGCUUGCUUUAUUAGUGUUUAUACUAUGGAAGUGUGGUUUCUUCAAGAGAAAUAAGAAAAAUCAUUAUGAUGCCACAUA
rnacentral:sRNA from 1 species